ACGGUCUUGCUGUCACUUAUAGAUGGAUCCGCGCUGCAUUAGCUAGUUGGUAAGGUAACGGCUUACCAAGGCAACGAUGCAUAGCCGACCUGAGAGGGUGAUCGGCCACACUGGAACUGAGACACGGUCCAGACUCCUACGGGAGGCAGCAGUAGGGAAUCUUCCGCAAUGGGCGAAAGCCUGACGGAGCAACGCCGCGUGAGUGAUGAAGGUCUUCGGAUCGUAAAACUCUGUUAUUAGGGAAGAACAUAUGUGUAAGUAACUGUGCACAUCUUGACGGUACCUAAUCAGAAAGCCACGGCUAACUACGUGCCAGCAGCCGCGGUAAUACGUAGGUGGCAAGCGUUAUCCGGAAUUAUUGGGCGUAAAGCGCGCGUAGGCGGUUUUUUAAGUCUGAUGUGAAAGCCCACGGCUCAACCGUGGAGGGUCAUUGGAAACUGGAAAACUUGAGUGCAGAAGAGGAAAGUGGAAUUCCAUGUGUAGCGGUGAAAUGCGCAGAGAUAUGGAGGAACACCAGUGGCGAAGGCGACUUUCUGGUCUGUAACUGACGCUGAUGUGCGAAAGCGUGGGGAUCAAACAGGAUUAGAUACCCUGGUAGUCCACGCCGUAAACGAUGAGUGCUAAGUGUUAGGGGGUUUCCGCCCCUUAGUGCUGCAGCUAACGCAUUAAGCACUCCGCCUGGGGAGUACGACCGCAAGGUUGAAACUCAAAGGAAUUGACGGGGACCCGCACAAGCGGUGGAGCAUGUGGUUUAAUUCGAAGCAACGCGAAGAACCUUACCAAAUCUUGACAUCCUUUGACAACUCUAGAGAUAGAGCUUUCCCCUUCGGGGGACAAAGUGACAGGUGGUGCAUGGUUGUCGUCAGCUCGUGUCGUGAGAUGUUGGGUUAAGUCCCGCAACGAGCGCAACCCUUAAGCUUAGUUGCCAUCAUUAAGUUGGGCACUCUAAGUUGACUGCCGGUGACAAACCGGAGGAAGGUGGGGAUGACGUCAAAUCAUCAUGCCCCUUAUGAUUUGGGCUACACACGUGCUACAAUGGACAAUACAAAGGGCAGCGAAACCGCGAGGUCAAGCAAAUCCCAUAAAGUUGUUCUCAGUUCGGAUUGUAGUCUGCAACUCGACUACAUGAAGCUGGAAUCGCUAGUAAUCGUAGAUCAGCAUGCUACGGUGAAUACGUUCCCGGGUCUUGUACACACCGCCCGUCACACCACGAGAGUUUGUAACACCCGAAGCCGGUGGAGUAACCUUUUAGGAGCUAGCCGUCGAAGGUGGGACAAAUGAUUGGGGUGAAGUCGUAACAAGGUAGCCGUAUCGGAAGGUGCGGCUGGAUCACCUCCUUU
rnacentral:rRNA from 1 species